UUGUACAGAGCACUGGGUAUUGUGUUCUCAUUGCUAGUCUAAGCUAGAAUAUAAAGAAGGAUGGUUGUGUCAGCCUGUCAGGUUCGGGGGCUCCCUUGUGCCCAUAAUUUCCAUGUGGAAUGCAUUGACAAGUGAGUCUGGCUGAAUGUGAAGUGCCCCUGUUGCCGCUACUCUGUCUUCCCUAACCUCGAUCUUAGCACCCUCUUCAACCUUCACGCUGACUCUAGGCAUCCCUCUGCUAGUGUUUUGACAGCCACACGCUAUAUGCACACACAACCAGCAGGCCAGAGCUACCUGUUGAGGUUGCAGGGCUUGCUACGCACAAUCCAAAUGGAGAAUGCUGGUGGAGGCAAUGAUGACGCUGGCCUAGAAGUAGCAGAAGAUGGACGGGUACUGUUAUCUCAGGGUCCGCCAAGCACGACGGCAUCGGUGAUGAUGGGCGCGACCAUGACUUUGUAUUAUUUGUAGAACCUAAUGUUGUGUAACAGUUUGAUUGAGUUAAACUUUAAAUAGACUGUUGUUAACUGUUUUGUUGGUAUUGUGGCUUUCAUGAUUGAUUGUUUCA